GAGUUGGGCCUGCUCGGUGAUUAAUAUUUAACAGCUGCGGUAUUAUAACUGUACUAAGGUAGCAUAAUAAUUUGCCUUAUAAAUUAGGGCUAGAAUGAAUGGUUUGACGAAAAUUAAUCUGUCUCUAUUUUAUUUAUUAGAAAUUAAUUUUAUAGUGAAAAAGCUUAAAUGAUUUAAAGGGACGAAAAGACCCUAUUGAGCUUAUAUUAAUAUUUAAAUUUAUAUGUAAAUAGAUUUAUUUAAGUUAAUUUUGGUUGGGGUGAUCAAGGAAUAAAAAAUAGUUUAAAAUGUUAAGUAACUUCCUUAAUUUAGGUUAGUUUUGUUGAAUAAUAAACCAAGAUUUUUGCUUAUAUGAUAAGUUACCAUAGGGAUAACAGCGUAAUUUUUUUUGAGAGUUCAUAUUGAGAAAAAAGAUUGCGACCUCGAUGUUGGAUUAAAAUAACCUUAAGGUGAAGAAGCUUUAAUAGGUAAAUCUGUUCGAUUUUUAAAAUU
rnacentral:rRNA from 1 species